AUUGAACGCUGGCGGCAGGCCUAACACAUGCAAGUCGAGCGGAUGAAGGGAGCUUGCUCCUGGAUUCAGCGGCGGACGGGUGAGUAAUGCCUAGGAAUCUGCCUGGUAGUGGGGGAUAACGUCCGGAAACGGGCGCUAAUACCGCAUACGUCCUGAGGGAGAAAGUGGGGGAUCUUCGGACCGCACGCUAGCAGAUGAGCCUAGGUCGGAUUAGCUAGUUGGUGGGGUAAAGGCCUACCAAGGCGACGAUCCGUAACUGGUCUGAGAGGAUGAUCAGUCACACUGGAACUGAGACACGGUCCAGACUCCUACGGGAGGCACCAGUGGGGAAUAUUGGACAAUGGGCGGAAGCCUGAUCCAGCCAGGCCGCGUGUGUGAAGAAGGUCUUCGGAUUGUAAAGCACUUUAAGUUGGGAGGAAGGGCAGUAAGUUAAUACCUUGCUGUUUUGACGUUACCAACAGAAUAAGCACCGGCUAACUUCGUG
rnacentral:rRNA from 1 species